CAAGUUUCCAACUAAAAAUCCCCUCGAAUGUCUCCCAAGGAAGAAAUAUAGCUCCUAUAAUUAAAGGAGGCAGCAGCCAGAGGGGGAAUGCAACCGGCAGCCAAAAAAAAAUUCGAUUUUGAGGAUUUUUCACCCAGAGGAACCCAAAACCUUCAGCUCACCCAAUAAUUUCCAGGGGAGGUAGAUGUGAAGGGGGAGGGGAACAUACCUGGAUGACCCUUUCCAUCAGGGCAGGAACAAAGGUGAGGUGGAUGUCACGUUUUUUAGGUUUUAAGAGACAAGCAGUGUCUUUCAUUUCUAAUUAAAGUUUAAUUUAAAACUUGGAGAAAUUGAUUUUUCACUUGAAGAAAUGUGUGUUUAAGAAGUUAAAAAAUCUCUCAUUAAAGAAUGCUCAUCCAUUUUGAGAUAAA